CAGCAGCCGCGGUAAUACGUAGGUCCCGAGCGUUGUCCGGAUUUAUUGGGCGUAAAGCGAGCGCAGGCGGAUCAGUCAGUCAGGGGUGAAAUCCCGGGGCUCAACCCCGGAACUGCCCUUGAUACUGCUGGUCUUGAGGUCGAGAGAGGUGAGUGGAAUUCCGAGUGUAGAGGUGAAAUUCGUAGAUAUGUGGAGGAACGCCAGUGGCGAAGGCGGCUUUCUGGACUGUAACUGACGCUGAGGCUCGAAAGCCAGGGGAGCGAACGGGAUUAGAUACCCGCGUAGUCCCUGUCUCUUAUAC
rnacentral:rRNA from 1 species